AACGCAAAUUGCGCUCGAGGCUUCGGCCAAGAGCAUGUCUGCCUCAGCGUCGGCUACUACCCUCAACUAAAUUUCAUUGGUGAAUUCCGGUGAAAGGCAGUUGGAUCUGGCCGUCCGGUUUGCCCUUUGGGUGGCCGGUCAGCUGAAAUACAUUCACGCUUUGGGAGCCUCUUUCCUUUCGAGGAAAGGCGAGUUCCGAUUUGGUAGGUGACCUUUGCCGGUUGCAUGCCUUCGUUGCCCGCUGUGCUCCCGAAUGCGUUGUGCAGGACGCCUUUUGGCUUUCGACCUGAGGUCAGGCAAGAACACCCGCUGAACUUAA
rnacentral:misc_RNA from 1 species